rnacentral:rRNA from 1 species
GAGUUUGAUCCUGGCUCAGGAUGAACGCUGGCGGCGUGCCUAACACAUGCAAGUCGAGCGAAGCACUUUACUUUGAUUCUUCGGAUGAAGAGUUUUGUGACUGAGCGGCGGACGGGUGAGUAACGCGUGGGUAACCUGCCUCAUACAGGGGGAUAACAGUUAGAAAUGACUGCUAAUACCGCAUAAGACCACAGCACCGCAUGGUGCAGGGGUAAAAACUCCGGUGGUAUGAGAUGGACCCGCGUCUGAUUAGCUAGUUGGUAAGGUAACGGCUUACCAAGGCAACGAUCAGUAGCCGACCUGAGAGGGUGACCGGCCACAUUGGGACUGAGACACGGCCCAAACUCCUACGGGAGGCAGCAGUGGGGAAUAUUGCACAAUGGGGGAAACCCUGAUGCAGCGACGCCGCGUGAGCGAAGAAGUAUUUCGGUAUGUAAAGCUCUAUCAGCAGGGAAGAAACUGACGGUACCUGACUAAGAAGCACCGGCUAAAUACGUGCCAGCAGCCGCGGUAA